CAGCUCCAAUAGCGUAUAUUAAAGUUGUUGCAGUUAAAAAGCUCGUAGUUGGAUCUCGGGUCAUUCCAGGGGGUUCUGGUCCUUACGGGGCCUGUCUACUCUCUGGAGUACCUAAACGGCGGGCUCUCUGACCUGGGUGCCCUUAGCUGGGUUGCCCACGUCACCCGCUCCAUUUACUUUGAAAAAAUUAGAGUGUUCAAGGCAGGUGUGUCUACCUGAAUAUUGUUGCAUGGAAUAAUAGAAUAGGAUCUCGGUUCUAUUUUGUUGGUUUUCGGAACUAGAGAUAAUGAUUAAGAGGGACAGACGGGGGCAUUCGUAUUGCGGUGUUAGAGGUGAAAUUCUUGGAUCGCUGCAAGACGAACUACUGCGAAAGCAUUUGCCAAGAAUGUUUUCAUUAAUCAAGAACGAAAGUCAGAGGUUCGAAGACGAUCAGAUACCGUCCUAGUUCUGACCCUAAACGAUGCCAACUAGCGAUCCGCCAGAGUUGUUUCAAUGACCUGGCGGGCAGCUUCCGGGAAACCAAAGUCUUUGGGUUCCGGGGGAAGUAUGGUUUGCAAAAGUGAAACUUAAAGGAAUUGACGGAAGGGCACCACCAGGAGUGGAGCCUGCGGCUUAAUUUGACUCAACACGGGGAAACUCACCCGGCCCGGACACCGUGAGGAUUGACAGAUUGAGAGCUCUUUCUUGAUUCGGUGGGUGGUGGUGCAUGGCCGUUCUUAGUUGGUGGAGCGAUUUGUCUGGUUAAUUCCGAUAACGAACGAGACUCUAGCCUACUAAAUAGUUUGCCUAUGCUCGCAGGUAGGCAUCAACUUCUUAGAGGGACAAGUGGCGCUUAGCCACACGAGAUUGAGCAAUAACAGGUCUGUGAUGCCCUUAGAUGUUCGGGGCCGCACGCGCGCUACACUGAAGGACUCAGCGUGCUCGUUGUCCUGGUCUGGAAAGACUGGGUAACCCGAUGAACCUCCUUCGUGCUAGGGAUUGGGGCUUGCAAUUCUUGCCCAUGAACGAGGAAUUCCCAGUAAGCGCGAGUCAUCAGCUCGUGUUGAUUACGUCCCUGCCCUUUGUACACACCGCCCGUCGCUACUACCGAUUGAAUGGUUUAGUGAGACCCUCGGAUUCGUCCCAGCAGGGUGGGUUCCCUUACCCUUUUGGUGUGCGGAGAAGACGGUCGAACUUGAUCAUUUAGAGGAAGUAAAAGUCGUAACAAGGUUUC
rnacentral:rRNA from 1 species